GCCAGCAUGGUGUAGUGGUUUGAACGUUAGGUUAUGAUUCUGAAGAACAGGGUUCAAAUCCCCUCUCAGCCA